AGUGAACGCUGGCGGUAGGCCUAACACAUGCAAGUCGAACGGCAGCACAGUAAGAGCUUGCUCUUGCGGGUGGCGAGUGGCGGACGGGUGAGGAAUACAUCGGAAUCUACUUUUUCGUGGGGGAUAACGUAGGGAAACUUACGCUAAUACCGCAUACGACCUACGGGUGAAAGCAGGGGAUCUUCGGACCUUGCGCGAUUGAAUGAGCCGAUGUCGGAUUAGCUAGUUGGCGGGGUAAAGGCCCACCAAGGCGACGAUCCGUAGCUGGUCUGAGAGGAUGUUCAGCCACACUGGAACUGAGACACGGGCCAGACUCCUACGGGAGGGAACAGUGGGGAAUAUUGGACAAUGGGCGCAAACCUGAUCCAGCCAUACCGCGUGGGUGAAGAAGGCCUUCGGGUUGUAAAGCCCUUUUGUUGGGAAAGAAAAGCAGCAGGUUAAUACCCCGCUGUUCUGGCGGUACCCAAAGAAUAAGCACCGGCUAACUUCGUG
rnacentral:rRNA from 1 species